rnacentral:rRNA from 1 species
GUCUUUUUGAAUUAUAUAUAAAGUUUAACCUGCCCAUUGAAAAUUUUUAAAAGGCUGCGGUAUUUUGACCGUACAAAGGUAGCAUAAUCAUUUGUUUUUUAAUUGAAAACUAGUAUGAAUGGUUGGAUGAAAAAUUAACUUUUUUAUUUGAAAUAUUGAAAUUUACUUUUUAAUUAAAAGGUUAAAAUUUAUUUAAAAGACGAGAAGACCCUAUAGAGUUUAAUAAUUUAUUAUUUAUUUUUAAAUAAGUUUAAUUAAGGUUUUAUUUAUUAAAUUAUUUUAUUGGGGUGAUAAUAUAAUUUAAUAAACUUAUAUUUUAUAAAUACAUUAAUAAAUGAUUAAUUGAUCCAAUUUUAUUGAUUAAAAAAUUAAAUUACCUUAGGGAUAACAGCGUAAUUUUUUUUUAAGUUCAUAUUAAUAAAAAAUUUUGCGACCUCGAUGUUGGAUUAAGAUUUAAUUUUAGGUGCAGUAGUUUAAAAUUUAAGUCUGUUCGACUUUUAAAUUCUU